rnacentral:lncRNA from 1 species
CUCUGAGUGGCAGCUCUUACUGCCUGGGAACAGACUCAUGUGGCCCAGUCAGGAGGAUGACAGCUCUGCACCACCGCAGGGAGUUCCUCUGGGGCCCAGUCCGAAGCACCGGUCUGGCAGCUGCGACGUACCAAUGCUUCCUGCUCCCUACUGAUGUCACUUGGAGAUCUGAUUGUCAACAUCACAAAAACAGCACCAGGAAAAGCCACAAGCCCCGAACGACUGAAAGUUGGAGGAUUUCUUUUCAGGAUGUUCAUUUUUCACUGGUUUAUCAGUCUCUGCUUUUAUGGAUCACUGGGGAUAUAAGGACGAGUUCAGCUCCCAUCAUCCUUCUCCGUUUAGCUGAUAGAAUUGAUAGUUGGAUGCACCAUAAACCUACACACGGGUUGUGCAGUAACAUUGUGGCGACAUACUGCAAAUGUGUGAAACAGCGAGGAUCCCCCAGCGCUGGCAUGGAGCACAUCAGAGAUCUGCCUGAGAGCUCACAAAGGCUGCCGCACAUCGUCCUGCGUGGGGAACUACAGCACAUGACUCCGUAA